rnacentral:tRNA from 1 species
AGUUAAAUACUUAUAGAAAGUUUUAUGUUUUGAAAGCAUAAAAAAGAGGUUAAAAUCCUCUAUUAACUU